GACAGAGGGUGCAAACGUUGCUCGGAAUCACUGGGCGUAAAGGGCGUGUAGGCGGGAAGUAAAGUCAGAUGUGAAAUCCCUGGGCUCAACCCAGGAACUGCAUUUGAAACUCACUUUCUUGAGUACCGGAGAGGAAGGUGGAAUACCUGGUGUAGAGGUGAAAUUCGUAGAUAUCAGGUGGAACACCAGUGGCGAAGGCGGCCUUCUGGACGGCAACUGACGCUGAGACGCGAAAGCGUGGGGAGCAAACAGG
rnacentral:rRNA from 1 species